AUGCUUAUCAUUCUUCUCGGGUUUCCUUGGUGCCUAGAACUCUGUGACCCCAUACCCAUUUAUAUUGUAGAUCUGAGAAAUUGAUAUGGGUUUACGAAGAAGAAAUGGUUUAUACGCUACAUGGGAUUCGAUUAUUGCAUCCAAUUCUGUCAGUUUGUUAUUGCAGUUAUGAUCGGAGGAGUGUUGUUGCUGCUUCCAGGCGAUGUUCGUUUGAUCGUGGGUAUUUGUGUGAUUGUUGAUGCACGCUAAGGUAAGUGGGUAUUUAGAAAGAGAGGGAGUUGCAGAGGUUGGGCGGUAGGACGAGGUGGUGGUGGCAGAGCCAUUCCUACGUUUUUGGAGACCCUAAGCGAACUACGAAAUGGAGGCCCUUUUGCAAAAGUACCCUUUUCAACAUAUUUAGUAACAAAACCCUCCUCGUUUACCCGAGCUUGGGACCGUCAACUAUA
rnacentral:lncRNA from 1 species